rnacentral:rRNA from 1 species
AACGAACGCUGGCGGCAGGCCUAACACAUGCAAGUCGAGCGAACCCUUCGGGGUUAGCGGCGGACGGGUUAGUAACGCGUGGGAAUAUACCCUUUGGUACGGAAUAGCCUCGGGAAACUGAGAGUAAUACCGUAUGUGCCCUUCGGGGAAAGAUUAUCGCCAAAGGAUUAGCCCGCGUUGGAUUAGAUAGUUGGUGGGGUAAUGGCCUACCAAGUCUACGAUCCAUAGCUGGUUUGAGAGGAUGAUCAGCAACACUGGGACUGAGACACGGCCCAGACUCCUACGGGAGGCAGCAGUGGGGGAAUCUUAGACAAUGGGCGCAAGCCUGAUCUAGCCAUGCCGCGUGGACGAUGAAGG